rnacentral:lncRNA from 1 species
AAACUUCAUCUGGUACAUCUUUGAAGAUCCCUUUGAGUUCAUCUGCAACAUGAUCGUUGUGAAGCUGUUAUUUUGAACCUGUGACUUGAGGAAUUCAUCUACUACAUGGGCUCAGUUGAAGAAGAUCAUGGAAUGGCUAAGCUUGGAUGUGGCUAUCUUUAUUUGAUGCCUUGCUCUUUAAGAUUGAUAUAAUUUUGUAUUGUGUGUUGAUUGAUUUAAAAUGUCCAAGGGGAUUUGGGUUUCUAUAAGACAUUCUUGUCUAUUGGAUUGCUACCCAUUGGUCAGAUCUUUUUAACUCUUAACUUUUAAUUUUGUG